rnacentral:rRNA from 1 species
UUGAACGCUGGCGGCAUGCUUUACACAUGCAAGUCGAACGGCAGCGCGGGGCAACCUGGCGGCGAGUGGCGAACGGGUGAGUAAUAUAUCGGAACGUACCCAAGAGUGGGGGAUAACGUAGCGAAAGUUACGCUAAUACCGCAUACGAUCUAAGGAUGAAAGCAGGGGACCGCAAGGCCUUGUGCUCCUGGAGCGGCCGAUAUCUGAUUAGCUAGUUGGUGAGGUAAAGGCUCACCAAGGCGACGAUCAGUAGCUGGUCUGAGAGGACGACCAGCCACACUGGAACUGAGACACGGUCCAGACUCCUACGGGAGGCAGCAGUGGGGAAUUUUGGACAAUGGGCGCAAGCCUGAUCCAGCAAUGCCGCGUGAGUGAUAGAAGGCCUUCGGGUUGUAAAGCUCUUUUGUCAGGGAAGAAACGGGGGUGGCUAAUAUCCGCCCCUAAUGACGGUACCUGAAGAAUAAGCACCGGCUAACUACGUGCCAGCAGCCGCGGUAAUACGUAGGGUGCAAGCGUUAAUCGGAAUUACUGGGCGUAAAGCGUGCGCAGGCGGUUUUGUAAGUCUGAUGUGAAAUCCCCGGGCUCAACCUGGGAAUUGCAUUGGAGACUGCAAGGCUAGAAUCUGGCAGAGGGGGGUAGAAUUCCACGUGUAGCAGUGAAAUGCGUAGAGAUGUGGAGGAACACCGAUGGCGAAGGCAGCCCCCUGGGUCAAGAUUGACGCUCAUGCACGAAAGCGUGGGGAGCAAACAGGAUUAGAUACCCUGGUAGUCCACGCCCUAAACGAUGUCUACUAGUUGUCGGGUUUUAAUUAACUUGGUAACGCAGCUAACGCGUGAAGUAGACCGCCUGGGGAGUACGGUCGCAAGAUUAAAACUCAAAGGAAUUGACGGGGACCCGCACAAGCGGGGGAUGAUGUGGAUUAAUUCGAUGCAACGCGAAAAACCUUACCUACCCUUGACAUGUCAGGAACCCCGGAGAGAUCUGGGGGUGCCCGAAAGGGAACCUGAACACAGGUGCUGCAUGGCUGUCGUCAGCUCGUGUCGUGAGAUGUUGGGUUAAGUCCCGCAACGAGCGCAACCCUUGUCAUUAGUUGCUACGAAAGAGCACUCUAAUGAGACUGCCGGUGACAAACCGGAGGAAGGUGGGGAUGACGUCAAGUCCUCAUGGCCCUUAUGGGUAGGGCUUCACACGUCAUACAAUGGUACAUACAGAGGGCCGCCAACCCGCGAGGGGGAGCUAAUCCCAGAAAGUGUAUCGUAGUCCGGAUUGUAGUCUGCAACUCGACUACAUGAAGUUGGAAUCGCUAGUAAUCGCGGAUCAGCAUGUCGCGGUGAAUACGUUCCCGGGUCUUGUACACACCGCCCGUCACACCAUGGGAGCGGGUUUUACCAGAAGUAGGUAGCUUAACCGCAAGGAGGGCGCUUACCACGGUAGGAUUCGUGACUGGGGUG